rnacentral:rRNA from 1 species
GACGAACCGUGCGAGCGUUGUUCGGAAUCACUGGGCUUAAAGGGCGCGUAGGCGGGCGGUCAAGUCAGAGGUGAAAUCCCACGGCUCAACCGUGGAAGUGCCCCUGAUACUGAUCGCCUCGAGGGAGGUAGGGGCGUGCGGAACUUCCGGUGGAGCGGUGAAAUGCGUAGAUAUCGGAAGGAACACCGAUGGCGAAAGCAGCGCGCUGGACCUUUACUGACGCUGAGGCGCGAAAGCCAGGGGAGCAAACGGG